rnacentral:rRNA from 1 species
GACGAACGCUGGCGGCGUGCUUAACACAUGCGAGUCGAACGGAAAGGCUCCAGCUUGCUGGAGUACUCGAGUGGCGAACGGGUGAGUAACACGUGGGUAAUCUGCCCUGCACUCUGGGAUAAGCCUGGGAAACUGGGUCUAAUACUGGAUAUGACCUUUCUCCUUAUGGGGUUUGGUGGAAAGUUUUUCGGUGUAGGAUGAGCCCGCGGCCUAUCAGCUUGUUGGUGGGGUGAUGGCUUACCAAGGCGACGACGGGUAGCCGGCCUGAGAGGGUGAUCGGCCACAUUGGGACUGAGAUACGGCCCAGACUCCUACGGGAGGCAGCAGUGGGGAAUAUUGCACAAUGGGCGGAAGCCUGAUGCAGCGACGCCGCGUGAGGGAUGACGGCCUUCGGGUUGUAAACCUCUUUCAGCAGGGACGAAGCGUAAGUGACGGUACCUGCAGAAGAAGCACCGGCUAACUAUGUG